rnacentral:tRNA from 1 species
GCCGCCAUAGCUCAAUGGUAGAGCGUAAACAAAAGCAAGGUGAUCUUCGGUGCUUUUGUUUGAGAUGUAGGUUCGAUUCCUGCUGGGGGCG